rnacentral:rRNA from 1 species
AGGGCACCACCAGGAGUGGAGCCUGCGGCUUAAUUUGACUCAACACGGGAAAACUCACCCGGCCCGGACACUGGAAGGAUUGACAGAUUGAGAGCUCUUUCUUGAUUCAGUGGGUGGUGGUGCAUGGCCGUUCUUAGUUGGUGGAGUGAUUUGUCUGGUUAAUUCCGAUAACGAACGAGACUCUAGCCUACUAAAUAGAUCGUCGGCUUACAAACGCCGGCGAGACUUCUUAGAGGGACAGGCGGUGAUUCAACCGCACGAAACAGAGCAAUAACAGGUCUGUGAUGCCCUUAGAUGUCCGGGGCCGCACGCGCGCUACACUGAAGUGAUCAGCGUGCUUUUUCAACCUACUCUGUCAAGAGUGGGGAACCCAAUGAACCUUCUUCGUGAUUGGGAUAGGGGAUUGUAAUUAUUCCCCUUGAACGAGGAAUUCCCAGUAAGCGCGAGUCAUAAGCUCGCGUUGAUUACGUCCCUGCCCUUUGUACACACCGCCCGUCGCUACUACCGAUUGAAAUGUUU